UACGUAGGUGGCAAGCGUUGUCCGGAAUUAUUGGGCGUAAAGCGCGCGCAGGCGGUCCUUUAAGUCUGAUGUGAAAGCCCACGGCUCAACCGUGGAGGGUCAUUGGAAACUGGGGGACUUGAGUACAGAAGAGAAGAGUGGAAUUCCACGUGUAGCGGUGAAAUGCGUAGAGAUGUGGAGGAACACCAGUGGCGAAGGCGACUCUGUGGUCUGUAACUGACACUGAGGCGCGAAAGCGUGGGGAGCAAACAGG
rnacentral:rRNA from 1 species